rnacentral:tRNA from 1 species
GGGUGGUUGGCAUAACGGCUGUGCAGAUAGCUCUUAACCCGCAGAAAUAGGUUCGACUCCUAUACCUAUACCACCCA